CGGCAGCCGGCAGAAACGUCUGCUGAGGAAGACACUGCAAAGUGUCAGCAAGGGCGUCUGGGAAUUAAUUUUACCCUAGAGUAGCUGUGCAGGUCUGUUGAGCCCCCACCUCUACAGCUAUGAACACCAGCUAACACUAGAAUCAGCCUGAUGCCUUGAACACCUCAUAUGAAGGGGUUUUCAAAAUCUAGCCAGAAACAUAUGACCAGAUUUGAAAAGAUUUUGAGACGAGGAAGGACUCUAUUCUGACAAAGCCUCACACAGGAGAGAGAUUUGACUCACAGCUGAAUGCAUCGCCAUUCAAGGAUUUGUCCUGUGAUGUGUAGCACUACCAUACCUGCUUUUGCUAACAAGUCGAAGAAUCUUCCAGUGACUGCUGCUUACUGAUUUACUGUAUAAUCAACAUGGCUUCCUUGAUGGACAGUAUCCUCCAUGACUUCCCAAAGAUGAGGAAAUAGUAAUUGCAUUGGUCAGUUCCCAAGACAAGAAUUGAACCACUUUUUAAAGUAGACA